CCGGAUGCUGCGCUGCUGGUUUCCCGCCGGCUUUAAUUCGACACAGCACAGACGGGGACGGGGGUGAAAAGUCAUAAAAAUGGCGCUGGCCGUGCGUCUUUUGCCCCGCUUUCUGCUCUCUCCGCCUCUGCCCGGCGGGGCCGCUCGACCCCUGACUCCCGGUGUAGCCGAGGUGGGGCCGCGGUUGGCUGGACUCUGCUGCUUCUGCCGCCGCCGCCUCGGCUCCGGAGCGGCCCCACUUCCUCGCGUCACUUGGGCCUCGGCGCUGCUAGCUCGCGGCCCUCCGCGGCCCCUGCUCAGCCCUCCGGGACCCCCUGCCGCCCUCUCCGUCUUCCCUGCCUACCCUCGGCGCCGCUACAGUGCGGAGGAGCAGCCCCAGCCGCGCCAGAAAACCAAGAUGAUCAUUCUGGGCUUCUCCAACCCCAUCAACUGGGUUCGGACUCGAAUUUACGCCUUCCUAAUCUGGGCCUAUUUCGACCAAGAGUUCAGCAUCGCAGAAUUCUCUGAGGGAGCGAAGCAGGCUUUUGCUCAUGUGUCCAAGUUACUGUCACAGUGUAAAUUUGAUCUGUUGGAAGAACUUGUGGCCAAAGAGGUGCUCCAUGUAUUGAAGGAGAAGGUCACUUCACUACCUGACAACCAUAAAAAUGCCCUUGCUGCUGACAUAGAUGAAAUUGUAUACACAUCAACAGGAGACAUCUCCAUUUACUAUGACGAGAAAGAAAAUGGAAGGUAGUAUGAAGGAAGUAUGAAGGUAUGAAAGCUAAAGGGAGCUUUAGGAAGAAAAGGAUUGACAUUUGACAAGUUAUUUAAGAAGAGAGAAAGUCAUAAAGACAUACUGGACAUGAAACAGAAGUGUUGAGAAGUUAGAAAGAGAUUUCAGAGGGAGUUUACACAAGGAGUAAAGCCUGACUGGACCAUUGCACGGAUUGAACACUCAAAGUUACUAGAAUGAUCUUUCUUCGAAAACCAGCUUAUUGGACUUCUGGCAAUUACUAUGAAAAAUUAAGGAAAGAAAUUUUGGAUGAGUUGAUCUUCACUUAGUCAAGACUGUGGCUCACUUUUGUAUUAUUUUGAAAUAUUUCUUGUAGUAUGUUGGCAGGAUACAAUAGAGCAUUUUCCACAGAUGCCACGUUCUAUGAAAGAGAUCAAAGUAAAAAAUGUCCAACAACCCAUUGUUGGUGUCAUAUUCCACGUCAUUUCUAAUGUUACUUGUACACAAACUAAUUUUGUAGGCAUAAAGAAAGUAUUGAAAAAACUACACAUUUCUAAAUAAAUAGUCCUUAAAUAUUUGUCAUUAAUACAUUUAAACCAGUAGUUCAA